GAUGAAUCUAAAAGCUGCAGGAAAGUAGCUCUCGAGGACUAGGAUUGGGCACCCCUGCUCUACAGUAAUAGUGUGGGACCUAAAACUGUUGUUUCAAAUAUAUACAGUAUCUCUAUGCAAAGAAAUUCAUGCAGCAAACUCAUUUCUUUUAAAUGUGUUUGAGAAAAUUCUGAUUGUGAUGAGACACAAACUUAUGGCCACACUCGAGCACUUUGAAUCAACAAGAAGCCCAGAGUUACAUGAAGUUAACAUGCAGGAUCACAUGUUCAGGCUCCACAUGUUAAAUUAAGUAAUUAUGUGUAUCGUUGAUCACACGUAUAAUAUCAGGUUUUCUUGUUUGUGCCUUUUUAAAAAGUGUAUUUAUUUCUGCCUUGUUUGUACUUUGUUUGAGGAACUUUUAGUGCUCGUCAACUUCCCGUUUGUUUAUCACACAUUUAAGUUUGUUUAGAAGUGUGAAAUUUUGGGCCACUCAUUUUGGUCGUUCUUACUGGCGCACACAUGGAGGAC
ensembl:lncRNA